rnacentral:rRNA from 1 species
AGAUUGAACGCUGGCGGCAUGCCUAACACAUGCAAGUCGAACGGGAGUAGCAAUACUCUAGUGGCGGACGGGUGAGGAAUACGUAGGAAUUUGCCCUUAAGUGGGGGAUAACCCGGGGAAACCCGGAUUAAUACCGCAUGACCUCGAAAGAGCAAAGUGGGGGAUCGCAAGACCUCACGCUUUUGGAGAAGCCUACGUCGGAUUAGCUUGUUGGUAGGGUAAAGCCUACCAAGGCUACGAUCCGUAGCUGGUCUGAGAGGACGACCAGCCACACUGGGACUGAGACACGGCCCAGACUCCUACGGGAGGCAGCAGUGGGGAAUUUGGACAAUGGGCGAAAGCCUGAUCCAGCCAUGCCGCGUGCGGGAAGAAGGCCUCGGUUGUAACCGCUUUGUCAGGGAAGAAACAA